CAGUUCUUGCAGAGCCUGCACUUUGGAUGCUGUGUCUGAACAGAGACUGAGCCAGGCUGUAGCACUACCUUCCAUGCAGCUAUGGCUGCCUCGGGAGAGGCCUGGCUUCGCAGCAGUGGUGGAAGAGAAGGCUAGCAAGCUACAGCAGCAAGAAAUGCAAUAGAGAAAACACUGAGUGAAAAACAUCAGAAGUGGCUUUUCAUGUUUAGGUGGAUGAUGACUGAUAUCCAAUAAGAAAGAAGAAUCUAAGGGUUCCUGUGAGUUAGGUUUCUGGACUGAGAGAUGAGUAGUGUGACAUGGAAGCCAGUAAAAAUCAUAGGAAUGCUGAGGAACUCACCUCCUCAUCUGCCACCUCAGAGUCUGCCUGGGUUGCUCUCAACCAAAAUCUGUGGAUUUACAAUUGUCAGAAAGGAAACCCAGCUUCUACAGUAAUCAACAAGAUAUAUGUGCCUAAUCAGCUUCAACACUGGAAACCCUUACAACAAAUCUACACAAGACCCUGAAGUGUUUUUCAGUAUUAUCCCUCAGCUUUUACCUUACCCUGGUGAAGACCUUCCGUAUGACAUCAGACUUUUUAUCCAUCUCAGCUAGAUGAGCUCUUUGAAGAAGAGCUUCUCUUGCUUGGGGUAUUUACACAGUGUCCUGCAUCCACCCUAGCCAGUGAACUCUGUCAUAUCCAUGGUCUUAUCCAUGGCCAAUUCUCUGUUCAGCAGCCAUUCAACACUGGUAAAGUUGAGUACAGCUGUGGUCGUCCACAUACAGAAAAACUCUAAAUGGCAUAGCUGCACAGGAGGACUAGCAUGGACCAGAAUGAAGCAAGAAGUCAGCUUGCUCAGGCUAGCAAAGCAUUGAGGGCUGAACUCUGAGGGCUGAGAAAAAAAAAAUGUGAAAGCUGUAGGUUAAUCUAACUUGAUAUGGAGAAUUUUAUUUUCUGACUAGCUCUUUCAUUAACAUUCACCUGCAUAUUUUAGAAUAAGGUUGAUUAAAAAAAAAAA
ensembl:lncRNA